GGGUCAUCCCCAAGGUUUAGGAACUCUUUCUCAAUUGUGGUGGACAUCACCAUGAAAAAAAUUUCCCACUGGGUUUCUGCCUGGUACCUUUCUGACAAUUGGCCUAUUGAGAGCAUUC
ensembl:snoRNA predicted gene, 25876